AGAGUUUGAUCAUGGCUCAGAUUGAACGCUGGCGGCAUGCCUUACACAUGCAAGUCGAACGGUAACAGGUCUUCGGAUGCUGACGAGUGGCGAACGGGUGAGUAAUACAUCGGAACGUGCCCGAUCGUGGGGGAUAACGCAGCGAAAGCUGUGCUAAUACCGCAUACGAUCUACGGAUGAAAGCGGGGGAUCGCAAGACCUCGCGCGGACGGAGCGGCCGAUGGCAGAUUAGGUAGUUGGUGGGAUAAAAGCUUACCAAGCCGACGAUCUGUAGCUGGUCUGAGAGGACGACCAGCCACACUGGGACUGAGACACGGCCCAGACUCCUACGGGAGGCAGCAGUGGGGAAUUUUGGACAAUGGGCGCAAGCCUGAUCCAGCCAUGCCGCGUGCAGGAUGAAGGCCUUCGGGUUGUAAACUGCUUUUGUACGGAACGAAAAAGCUCUCUCUAAUACAGGGGGUGAAUGACGGUACCGUAAGAAUAAGCACCGGCUAACUACGUGCCAGCAGCCGCGGUAAUACGUAGGGUGCAAGCGUUAAUCGGAAUUACUGGGCGUAAAGCGUGCGCAGGCGGUUAUGUAAGACAGAGGUGAAAUCCCCGGGCUCAACCUGGGAACUGCCUUUGUGACUGCAUAGCUGGAGUGCGGCAGAGGGGGAUGGAAUUCCGCGUGUAGCAGUGAAAUGCGUAGAUAUGCGGAGGA
rnacentral:rRNA from 1 species